UAGGGAAUCUUCCGCAAUGGGCGAAAGCCUGACGGAGCAACGCCGCGUGAGUGAUGAAGGUCUUCGGAUCGUAAAACUCUGUUAUUAGGGAAGAACAACUGUGUAAGUAACUAUGCACGUAUUGACGGUACCUAAUCAGAAAGCCACGGCUAACUACGUGCCAUCAGCCCCGGUAAUACGUAGGUGGCAAGCGUUAUCCGGAAUUAUUGGGCGUAAAGCGCGCGUAGGCGGUUUUUUAAGUCUGAUGUGAAAGCCCACGGCUCAACCGUUGAGGGUCAUUAGAAACUGGAAAACUUGAGUGCAGAAGAGGAAAGUGGAAUUCCAUGUGUAGCGGUGAAAUGCGCAGAGAUAUGGAGGAACACCAGUGGCGAAGGCGACUUUCUGGUCUGUAACUGACGCUGAUGUGCGAAAGCGUGGGGAUCAAACAGG
rnacentral:rRNA from 1 species